rnacentral:misc_RNA from 1 species
UGAAUUAGUGAAAUUACAGUGGCAGUAGUAAAUAUCUGCACAAGCAAUCCGAGCACGAGCAGAACAGUUUCAAUAAGUUCAAACUUCUUUCUUUCCAUGUCACUCAGGUUCCAAAAAACCUCUAAUGUUGAAUUGCUGCUAAUGGCACAAAAUACUGAGAGAAGUAUUGCAAUAGAUGACAUGAUGAUGUAAACUCUCAAGAAACCUACUCUACUCCGUCUUCGACCUAAUUCCCCGAUGAGAAGAGAAAUCAACCCAAUGACGGAAGAUGAAAUAGU